rnacentral:misc_RNA from 1 species
UUAUCACUUAAGUUUAACUUUCCAAUAUCCAACCUGCAUGUAACAAGAGUUUUAGCAACUAAAUUAAGGGAAAAAAAAUAUCAAUGAUAAAUGAGGAAGGACUUUCCUCAAAUAUGCAAACUGGAUCCAUUCCUGAAGAAUCCUUGUAUGCCUGAGUUAUUGGUUUGUGACUCUGUCACAUGGCUUCUUCAUCACUUUUUCCUUGACCUUGAGACUGGGACGAG